rnacentral:lncRNA from 1 species
UGGCUGCCGCCCUUCCCCCACCCACGCCGGCGGGAGCCGCCCGUUCGCGCUGCCAGCAGCUUCCGCCUGCUACGGUCCUGGCAAGCACCUCGGGAUCCCAUUCCUUCACAGGGACCCUAGCCAGUUAAAGCUGAUACAUUCCUGUGGGUCAACUAUGCAACUAACUCAGAUUUUGAGCAAACAAAGCUCUCAAGUUGGUGAUCCUCAGGAGUCUCUGCAUUAGUUGGACAGCUCUUCUGGAAUUAUCUUCUAAGUCAACUGUGGGUUGGGUAGGUGGCUCUGCUGAUUUUUCGCUGGACUUCCACAUUUGGGACGAGUUGGCUGUCAUCAGCUCUAGAAAGGGUGUGGCCGUUUUACAUUGGCUGUUUUCCUCACAUUCCUCAAGCAGGUAAGCUUAAUCAUGUUCUCAUAUUGAAGCAGAAACUGUUUACUCAUUUAUCUAUUUACUUACUGGGUCUCCUGGGCACUAGGUACUGUAAUAAAGAACUGGAGAAAUACAGUCAGAUGGGAAGUAGCCCUUGCUGUCAAGGAGCUUGCCAUCUAAUGGGGGAGACAGGCAAGUAAACCAAAGACUACACAGUGCAGUAUGGUAAGUGCCAUGAUUUUGAUGUGACAGGGCACAGUGGACGACCUUCCAAAUCAAAGCAAGUAACUAGGGGUUGACAAUGGUAAGUAUCAUAGUUGAAGUAUCCUUGAACAAGGUUUCAGGAAGAAGAAGAAGGGAAUUUCAUGCAGGGAAACAGCCAAAGCUCAGUGAGUCAAAAUAUCACAGCAUUCUUGGUAAGCCCAAUUGUUUUUUCUGUUUUGCUAUUUUGGUGGAGAGAAAGGAACACAUAAAGGAAUAACAUGAGAGAAGGCUAUUUGGGGAAGUGUAGUAGUUAAGGUUCUGGCUCAAACAACAACUGCAGCUCAUAAAGUUGACUUUAGUGGAAGGAUACUGGGGUAUCUCAUGGAAUCUUGGGAACUGUUGAAUAACCAGGGAAACUCUGGGAAACUCACUGGUAGGAAUCCAUAAACUGUCCUCCUGGUGGGCUGUAAACAACUCACCCUCUAUGCAUCUCACAUCAAAAUUCCAGUUUCUUGGGAAAACAAGUCUGUUUGCCCAAUUUGGGUCAUAUUUCCACGUCCAUGUUACUCAGGCAUGAUUCAUCUGCAAGUUAUGUGUAUAGAUAUUUUGCUACUGUUCCACCCUUACGCUGUGCUGGGGAGGGAGGUGUCACUGUGAGCUGUGUCGGUGCCUUAAGAGAUAUCUGUUGUGUCUUAUUACUUGGUUGCUUUUCCCCACAUGUACAAUGACAAAAAUGCCUUCAACCUAUUUGAUCCAGCCGUUCCAGUACAACUCCUAUACUUGCCAUCUUUCCAAGCCCAAAGGUACAUCCAGCUGAUGGAAGGAGCAUCUUGGUGUUAAUAUUCUUUUAGUCAUGGUCUCUGAAAGUAAAAUGUCUAUUCUUCUAAUUCUGGCACAAUCUUAUCUAGCUAUAGUUCCUCAUGGUCCUGCACUCCAUGGACUAAAUUGUAAGUAUAAUUACUACCAAUGUACUCUAUAAAUAACUUUUGGGGCCAGGGUGGCAAUAGUUGCUAGAGAGAAAAAAAAAAAAAAGGAAGGAGAAGAAAACAGUGAUAGUUCUUAUUUUAAAAGGAAAAAAAGAGGCAGGAGGCUCUCUUGAGGCCAGGAGUUUAAGACCAGCCUAGGCAGCAUUUCAAGACCCUGUCUCUACUAAAAAGUAAAAAAAAAAUUUAGUCAGGCAUGGUGGCAUGCACCUGUAGUCGUAGCUACUCAGGAGACUGAGGUGGGAGGAUUGAUUGAGCUCAGGAGUUUGAGGCUGCAGUGAGCAAUCAUCAUGCCAUUGCACUCCAGCCUGGGCAUCAGAGCAAGACCUUGUCUUUUAGGAAAAAAAGGCAGGGAAGAGGAAUAGGUAAUUUUUCAGUGUUCAGACAUUCCAGCAAUAUGUGUGGAGUACUCAUUCUCACUACAGUUUAUGAGGCCAUAGCUAGUAUGUAUGACUACCCAUCCAAGUUUCCCUGCUUACAGUUACUAUUCCAACUGAUUGGGGGGCUUUUCCUAAUAGAGUGAUUUAAGCCUUCAUUUUUAGACAUCUAAGCCCUUGGUGAUCAUCAGCAUAAAAUGUGACAAAUUAAACAAAAGCAAGACAGCACAUCAGAGAACAACUCUGAGGUGGAAUGAUUGGGAACCAAUGAAUAGUUGUUCAGUAAAUGGUUUAUAUUUUACAGAUGAUGAAACUGAAACACAAAAAAUUUAGAUUAACUCUUAGGUGACAAAGCCAGGAUUGAAGCUCAUGCGGUCUGGCUCCAGAACAACUCUUCUUCAUAGUUACGUUAUACUGCCCCUGCAUUGUUGGUAUUGAAAAUAACUGAUACCGUGCUUCCAGAAGAUUUUUCUAACAGUGUUUGCAAGCUAUAAAAUAGUGCUUUCACUUAGAAAAGGCUAGACGUGGUGGUUCAUGCCUGUAAUCCCAGCACUUUGAGAGGCCGAGGCACCAUGCUGGGAGAUAAGGAUCCAACAUAAGACAAACAGUGCUGAUGCUUUUGGAAAGCUCAUAUUCAAGCUGGGGAGACAAACAACAUACAAGAGGGCUCUGAGAGAUUUCAUUUCUGUCCUGCUGAUGAAGUCUACGUUCAUUCAGGGCCUGCUGUGGAAGACCAGCCCCAAAGGAAUGAGA